GUUGUUUUAAGCAUGGCAACCUCAGCUGGAUAAGGAUAGGCCUCAUCAAUACGCCUUCCGGGCUCAAAUGGUAAAAGGUAGCGGUCCACAACAAUGGACAGUGUAUCUACAAGGAAGUAGACUCUUUGUUUUGUGAUUUUGGUUAAUGAAUAUUGGUAGUACGAGGUGAAUUGAAAACUUCGGGGAAGCGUUGGAACAGAAAAACUUCCAUGUUUCGAAACUUCCGGGCUCUCAAAUGGCGCACCUUAAAUUUGAGGUAGUUUGCUAGUUGGUAACUUCAACGU
rnacentral:lncRNA from 1 species